rnacentral:rRNA from 1 species
UACAGAGGUCUCAAGCGUUGUUCGGAUUCAUUGGGCGUAAAGGGUGCGUAGGCGGCGCGGUAAGUCGGGUGUGAAAUCUCGGAGCUUAACUCCGAAACUGCAUUCGAUACUGCCGUGCUUUGAGGACUGGAGAGGAGACUGGAAUUUGACGGUGUAGCGGUGGAAAUGCGUAGAUAUCGUAAGGAAGACCAGUGGCGAAGGCGG